rnacentral:snRNA from 1 species
AUACCUUUCUCGGCCUUUUGGCUAAGAUCAAGUGUAGUAUCUGUUCUUAUCAGUUUAAUAUCUGAUACGUGGACCAACGGUUCACACGAUAUUAAAUUAAUUUUUUUAAGGAGUGAGUCCACUACAAUAGCUUGCUAUUGGGGCGCACAAGUGUCAUCUUUGCGUUGCACUACAGCAAAGCUUGGCGCACCCUAC